rnacentral:rRNA from 1 species
UGUAUAAUGGGUCAGCGACUUAUAUUCUGUAGCAAGGUUAACCGAAUAGGGGAGCCGAAGGGAAACCGAGUCUUAACUGGGCGUUAAGUUGCAGGGUAUAGACCCGAAACCCGGUGAUCUAGCCAUGGGCAGGUUGAAGGUUGGGUAACACUAACUGGAGGACCGAACCGACUAAUGUUGAAAAAUUAGCGGAUGACUUGUGGCUGGGGGUGAAAGGCCAAUCAAACCGGGAGAUAGCUGGUUCUCCCCGAAAGCUAUUUAGGUAGCGCCUCGUGAAUUCAUCUCCGGGGGUAGAGCACUGUUUCGGCAAGGGGGUCAUCCCGACUUACCAACCCGAUGCAAACUGCGAAUACCGGAGAAUGUUAUCACGGGAGACACACGGCGGGUGCUAACGUCCGUCGUGAAGAGGGAAACAACCCAGACCGCCAGCUAAGGUCCCAAAGUCAUGGUUAAGUGGGAAACGAUGUGGGAAGGCCCAGACAGCCAGGAUGUUGGCUUAGAAGCAGCCAUCAUUUAAAGAAAGCGUAAUAGCUCACUGGUCGAGUCGGCCUGCGCGGAAGAUGUAACGGGGCU